UACGUAGGGUGCAAGCGUUAAUCGGAAUUACUGGGCGUAAAGCGUGCGCAGGCGGUGAUGUAAGACAGUUGUGAAAUCCCCGGGCUCAACCUGGGAACUGCAUCUGUGACUGCAUCGCUGGAGUACGGUAGAGGGGGAUGGAAUUCCGCGUGUAGCAGUGAAAUGCGUAGAUAUGCGGAGGAACACCGAUGGCGAAGGCAGCCCCCCUGGGCUGAGAUUGACGCUCAGGCACGAAAGCGUGGGGAGCAAACAGG
rnacentral:rRNA from 1 species